rnacentral:tRNA from 1 species
UGUGGUGUGGCUCAGUGGUGAGGGCUUGUCCCGCAAGCAUGAGGCCCUGGGUUCCAUCCCCAGCACCAAAA